ACCCAGUAGCAUCAAAUUAGUUACCAAAUUUCAACAUUUAUAAAAAUCUGAGUUAUGUACAUGACACAUCAAAACAAUAAUUUAUUUAGUAAAAAAAAUGCACAGAUCGUAACGAGCCACCACAUAUUGCUGACAUACGUAAUAUUGGCUAAUAUUUUUUGGUACACACGGAUGAUGCUAGUAGGUCUCAAACCACUUGGCAAAUAAUAAACGGAACUUAUUUUCUUCAUUUUGGCCAUCUUGGCCUUUCUCGAGCCUUCGAAAAACUAUCAAAAGUUUUUUUGUUCACAACAUUUAUUUGACACGGCAUAAUACAAAACAAUGUUUAACGGUGUCAAUUAAA